rnacentral:rRNA from 1 species
UACGAAGGGGGCUAGCGUUGUUCGGAUUUACUGGGCGUAAAGCGCGCGCAGGCGGUCCUUCAAGUCAGGGGUGAAAGCCCAGAGCUCAACUCUGGAACUGCCUUUGAGACUGUAGGACUUGGGUAUGGGGAGAGGUGAGUGGAAUUCCGAGUGUAGAGGUGAAAUUCGUAGAUAUUCGGAAGAACACCAGUGGCGAAGGCGGCUCACUGGCCCAUUACCGACGCUCAGGCGCGGAUAGCGUGGGGAGCAAACAGGG